CCCUAGCCGCGAUAGUAGCAGAAAUCCUUUUGUGCCGGUCCCGAUAGCUAUCGGGAGGCACAAAAGAUUGUAGCGGAUAGCGGGAAACAGC
rnacentral:sRNA from 1 species